rnacentral:rRNA from 1 species
GACGAACGCUGGCGGCGUGCUUAACACAUGCAAGUCGAACGAUGAAGCCGGAGCUUGCUCUGGUGAAUUAGUGGCGAACGGGUGAGUAACACGUGAGUAACCUGCCCUUGACUCUGGGAUAACUGCGGGAAACUGUAGCUAAUACCGGAUACGACCCUCGGAGGCAUCUCCUGGGGGUGGAAAGAAUUUCGGUCAAGGAUGGACUCGCGGCCUAUCAGCUAGUUGGGGAGGUAAAGGCUCACCAAGGCGACGACGGGUAGCCGGCCUGAGAGGGUGACCGGCCACAUUGGGACAGCGACACGGCCCAGACUCCUACGGGAGGCAGCAGUGGGGAAUAUUGCACAAUGGGCGCAAGCCUGAUGCAGCAACGCCGCGUGAGGGAUGACGGCCUUCGGGUUGUAAACCUCUUUUAGCAGGGAAGAAGCGAAAGUGACGGUACCUGCAGAAAAAGCACCGGCUAACUACGUGCCAGCCGCCGCCGUAA